rnacentral:lncRNA from 1 species
CUGAAAACUUGAAGCCUUUCCUUCAGAAAUAGUACAAAUUGAAAUUGAUUGAAUUUGUUGGUUCCAUAACAAAUGGUCCAGGAGUGGGUUAUCAGUAGCAGGCAAUUGUUUUACAAGGCAUGGGAAGACAUUCUGACCUUUGCAAUUCAAUGGCCUGGGACAGAAGUGGUGACCAUGGGAACUGUUUACAUCACCGUUCGAUGACAUGAGGCACUGAGGAGUAAGAGAGCAACAGUUCUCACUUUCUUCUUUAGUAAACAUAAUUUGGGGGGGUGAAAGGCUUUUUGUAGAAAUCUUUAAAAUGUAUUAUGCAUAUGUGAAUGUACAUGUGAAAUUUAUAAUCUGGGAAAUCUGAGUAUACAGAUUCUUGCAUAAUAUACAUCAGCUAAUUGCAUCUGUUUCCAAUUGUAUGGU